ACCACCUACUACGAGCAGAUCCUUUCCAGGCAGAGCCUUAGAGACAGAAAGACAACAAUCUCUGCCUUUAACCCGGGGAGACAGACGAGGGCACGGUUGGUGACUCGUGACCGGUCACAGCCACCCUGCUGUUAUGCCCAUUUUGCAGAUGAGCAAACUCAGGUACAAGACGUUUCAUAACUUACCCAGGAUGGACAGCUGAUAGUGAAUUCAGCAUUUGAACCCAGCUGAGAGGCUCCUCUCCUGACCAUGGGGGAAGAAAGAGAGAGAAGAGAAAUCAACAAUGGCGUGUAUCCACAGAUGAGGUGACUUGGAAGCACACAGGCAUUUCCAUUUUCCUCUCCAUCUCCUCUUCCUCUCCCCCACAAUCUCAGCCACCACCAAGAACCCUGUUGGGAUAAUCAGACUUGGAGUUCUCAGGCUGAGAUACUGAGGUCCUGAAUCCUGGAGAACUGAAUGAGAGAGAAGGACCACAGCCACCAACAAAAUAAGAUCCAGAGCACAGGACUAAGGGACUUGGUAUGUCUUCUCAGAAUGGCAGGGAUGGAUUAAUUUGUGGGAAACAUCAAUGUGCGAAUGAUAACAACUAGAAAUCACCUUUGCCAGCACUGAGCUUCCAGAGACGUGUUAAGUCACUUCACAUCUCUGGUCUCCAAGUCCUCAUCUGUAAAAUUUAUCAUUCCAAUCCAUUCUGCAAACAUUUCUGUAGUGUCUACUCUAUGCCAGGCUAUGUGCUAGGCACCAAGGAAGGCCAUAAGGAUCUCAAUUACCAGGAUAAAUAAAGAAAGAAUAAAAGAAGAGGACAUUUAUUUACCAGGAUAAAUAAAGAAUAAAAGAAGAGGACAUUUAAUCCCCCAGGCAUUAGGAUAGGCAAAAUGGACACAAUGAUCAACAAAAUGCAUAGUGAGGCUUAUGGUUUUAGAUAUAUGAUUUACCAGACAACCUGAAAACCCUCCCACUAAUAAACACUUGGACAUUCUGAAUAAAAUAUAAUAGACAUCCUUUUUAAAAGCAGAACUAAGUUCUCAAGUAAGUAAGGAAAUCCAGGGCCAGAAAUUAAGAUGGAACUAAAUAUCAGAGGGGUAAGCUUUUGAGUUAAUGCUGUAGUUGUAAACGGGGGAACCCUACACCUGUGCCCCCCAAACUCCCAAACUGGAAAAUAACACAGUUAGGUAGCAACGUUCUCAGGACAGUGAUACUCCCAGGAUUCUGGAAAGUGCACUGUCAGCCACGGCUUCACAUGAUUCCUACAGGCAGGGUGCUGCUGUAGAUGAGACCAUUGUCCAAAGUUCCAAGAUGGGUGAGCAAGAAUCAAACAAAUAAGCAACUGGAUUUAUUCCAUCCCUCAGGAUUUCGUACAUCAGAACGAAUAGCACAUCAACUACAAAAUAAAUAUAUCCUUUUUUUCCUCAUUGGAACACCUGAUGAAUUUGCACAUCAUCCUUGCCUUCCAAUUUUAGUAUUUGUGCUGCCCAAAGCGAGCACCAAAAUAAGUAUAUCUUAAUUAACAACAUAAAGGGUGUUUUAAAAAGGAAAAAGAUAUUUUCUAAAACAAACAUAUUUGGAAAAUAUCCAACUUGAACUAUUAGGAAAAUCUAGAAAGUCAUUGAAAUUAAAAACCCAGUGGAUGAGUUAAAGAGCAGAUUAAAUGCAGCUGAAGGAAGAUUGGUACACAGGAAGAUAUAGGCCUAUUCAUAACUUGCCUUCUUGCUUCUUAGGCAAUACUUAUACUCUCUAAAGCAUGACGUUAUAAGUUGUAGUGUCAUUUUGAGACGAAUCAUUCAAAGGAUAAAAAGAGAAAUUGAUUAUUUUAAACAUAGAUGUGAUAAGCUUUUUAACUAUCAAACAUGCCUUAUUUUACUUUUUUUUUUUUUUGCCUUAUUUUACUUUUGAACAGACUAGUUUCUGACAUCAUACAUUUCUUUAUUUCUUCUUCAAUAACCAUAUACUUCCAAAGUCGAACAUCAUAUGACCUGUUAUCAUAGCAUGCCCUCUGCACGUGAGGCCACAAUCCCAAGCAAACUGAAACAGUUGGCAGGAGUUGUAUUCCUAGAAAUCAUUUCCAAACCCAGGAUAGCUAGCGAUACCUAUACAUGGUAAUCACCAAAAACAACAUAAAUGUAUACCAUCGGGUUGGACAGCCUGCUAUUGAUUUAUAAACACCACUUCUUUUAAGUCAGAGAAUUAUUUUUCCCAGCAUGGAUCCAGUUUGCCGGGGAGAGAAAUAAGGUUGGAAGAGGGAAGAGAAGUUGAAAUAACAAUUUUUUUCCAGAAGGUUGUGGCAGUCAGACGUGGCUUCAGAAUUUCUCCAUAAGCUACCACUUGGAGGCUGAGCAGAAAUAGUAGUUCGCAGCCUUUCUACAAACUCACUUCACAGUUAUAAUGGCAGGACAUAGCGGUUUCCCAGAUAGUCCCACAAUCAGUAGCUUCUCCUAGCCUCUCCCACCUGUCCUUCUUGCAGCAGGCCAGAGGUAUAGCUAUUACACCAAUUCAUAGACAAAGGCUAAGAGUUUGGCUGGAUCGACAGGGAUUUUGGAAAAAUGAGAUUGGACAGUUGGUGAUAAAGAUAUAGAGGUGUGAGGAUAGAGCUCUCCAAAUGAGCAUAUUUAGUGUGGGGUUGCUCAGCAGAAGAGGGUUCCAACAACCAGUGGGGAAGAUAAUCCACUCUACGGAUGUCAGUCAGCCAUCCCUCCAACCACUUCUGUCCUUCUUGAAAGUGCUCAUCAAUGAAAUGGCCAUGGUAAAAGAGAUGGAGGUUGUGCAUGGGUUCAGCAACAGGGGCCCCUACUCACCAAGGUCAAUCUGGCUAAAGUUCCUGCCGAGUGUCCAACCUCCAAUCACAAAGACUAACACUGAGCCCUGAAAAUGGCACUGUUUUCCAGAGGGACACACCAGGCCAUUUAAUGGAAUGUUGAUGACAUUGAACUAAUUUCAUCAUUGAGAAGACAGUUCAUGGAAACUGACAAACUCACUCUAAAAUCUGUAUCGAAGGGCAGCCCGGGUGGCUCAGUGGUUUAGCGCCGCCUUCAGCCCUGGGCAUGAUCCUGGAGACCCGGGAUCGAGUCCUACAUCGGGCUCCCUGCAUGGAGCCUGCU